AACGCUCAGACUUUUCAUGGUGGCGCUCAAGGCACGCGGCGACUUAGCAGAGAAGAGGCUCCACUCGCAGAUCCAGGACGGAAUCCACUACUCACGUGCUCGCUCAGUGUAGAGACAUGCCUGCCAUUCGAGAAGUUUUCCGCCCCAAGUUCAGAAGUACUCUGGUGUCACUGUCACGAUGACACACUUCUCAUUUGGAGUAACUGGAGAGUGCCCUACGAAGCAUGAUGGUCAUAGGUAUUAUAAUUUUUCACUAGUUCAUAGCUUUUUUGUUUUGUUUUAUAACCUUCACAAGGUAUUUAGUUUACGCGAUUCUUUCAAGCUAGUUAGAAGUCCCUAUCUUUAAGCUGUUUUGAGGAAAUUGAAGCUUGGCAAUGAAAAGUUGUGGAAGCUUUGGAGCU
rnacentral:lncRNA from 1 species